rnacentral:misc_RNA from 1 species
GAUGAAGAACGUAGCGAAAUGCGAUAAGUAAUGUGAAUUGCAGAAUUCAGUGAAUCAUCGAAUCUUUGAACGCACAUUGCGCCCGCCAGCAUUCUGGCGGGCAUGCCUGUUCGAGCGUCAUUUCAACCCUCGAGCCCCCCCGGGGGCCUCGGUGUUGGGGGACGGCACACCAGCCGCCCCCGAAAUGCAGUGGCGACCCCGCCGCAGCCUCCCCUGCGUAGUAGCACACACCUCGCACCGGAGCGCGGAGGCGGUCACGCCGUAAAACGCCCAACUUUCUUAGAGUUGACCUCGGAUCAGGUAGGAAUACCCGCUGAACUUAAGCAUACCAAUAAGCGGAGGA